GAAAAUCAAACCAGCAAGCUUCAUCAUUUCAGCAAAUGCAGCUUGUAUUGUGCAUGAAAUAUAAAAUUAAGAACAUAACUUUUGGGAUUGGUGGCAACCCCUUGGAGUGGAUGCUGCAGUAGAGACCCCUGCCAAGGAUGCAGGGGUCCAGGAGUGGGAAUGAGCGCCGCACCGAGCUGCCUGCACACCUCUAUGCAAAGGGGAAUCGGGCUGUUUCAGAGAGAGAAGCUAUUUUUUCCUCUUGCUUUCGGUGCUCCCAGCUGCCCCAGGGACACAGCUAGCAACUCCACUGCUGCAGCUCUUGAGUAAUGGAUACCUCCUGAAAUUGCACCUUGGAAGCAGCUGACUGGUUCCUGCAAUGAGCUCCUGAAUAAUUGAAGCAAUAUUUGUGGGUUUUGCACUGAAGUACUAACAGCUGCAGUAUGUUUUGAUAUUUAUGAAGCCCAAUAAAUUAUGGAUUAGGCAGUGCAGCGAGCCCAGCUUGAUACUUAGUGCUGCCAGAGUGCCAGUGCUGAUGGUGCACGGUUCUCCCCAGUUCACUUCCAUUGUGUAGCUGGGUAGGACUGGUGUCUGUCACUGGGCUUACUCACAGGUUGAAGUUCCAAUCCCCAAGAGCUGGUAGUGUGUUUUGAAUUGCACCUCACUACAUAGAUUUUAUGAAGACAAGCUGAGGCUGUAUUUCAGGUCACGGGACAUUGCAGAGGUGGAGAUGUCCAUUUUCUUGAUAAUGGAGGAUGCAGAAUUAGUGGCAAGAGUUAAGCUGGAAAUAACAUAAAACCCAGUCUUGCUUUCAAAGGGUUCCAUGGGUAAAUAUCAGCCACCUUCUCCAGGAUGCCUCAUUCGGAGUACAAGCUUUUCUUUGUCACUUAUGAGAUUAAACUCUGUGCUCGGCUUUUUACUAUCCAGGCAAAUUUUGUUUCAUGCCUGAGAGUGUUUUCGUUUUGCAGAUGAUCCAGACACAUUCCAGAUAUCCCCCCAUCGGCACGGGCUGCACGCUGGGAAGGGAUGGGAAACAAGGAAAUAACUGCUUGAAGCAGCAGAUGGCAUCCUACUCCUCAGAAGCUUUCCUGUCUCUGUGGAAGUACAAUAAAUACAGACUACACGUGUGCGUGCUCUGGUCACAGCUGCACAAAGGGAUUUGGUAGAGAACGGCACUGCAUUAAGAAGAUUCAAAAUGAAGAACUCCCCAUCUCCAUUGGAGAGGUGAGAGGGGGACUGGAUGAACCAGUGCCCCAUGGGAUCUGACCCUACCCUACCCACCUCCCGCAUCUUCCAAUCUUGCAAGGGGAGCCCAGGGAAGGCAACAGCCAUAUCUCCUCUGUACAGUGGCUGCUUUCUAAAGAGGAGGGGCAGAAAUUCUCCCUCCAGCAGAAGGCAGCAGGAGAGCUCCCAGCAAAGGACUAAGCAACAAGCAAAGAGUGCUGGCCAAGCAUGAAUUUUCUAACAAAAUAAAGAAUUGAAUCUGGUUAUGACUAAUUGGGAGAGCUAAUCAAACUUCUUUUUAUAACUGUUUCCCCAGUAUCCCAGGGGAUGCCCCAUAUGUGCCCUUGGACCAUGCGUGUAACACAGAAAGAUCCAGUGACUUCCACUGACAUGCUGAGUACACUUCAGAGUGACAACAUAAGCCAGAGAGCAAAAGCUGUAUGAGAAUGACUCUCCUGGUACCAGCACAGCCCCCUGUGGGUUCCAGCACCAGUAUCUUUCCCUUGGAUUCCCACAUUAGAUGCCCAUUUCUCCCCAUUGCUAACAGCAGCCUCCAUGGG
rnacentral:lncRNA from 1 species